rnacentral:lncRNA from 1 species
UUUCUUUUCUUUUCUUUUUCUUUUUUUUUAUUUAGCUGCUCCAAAGGCUGUAUCCUAGCUUUAUUUUCAAAGGGCCUGCGCCGCAGAGUCAAUAUAAAAACACAAAAAGUCCCAUCAGUUUAAUAACAAUAAAAAAUCCCAAAAUGGAAAAGUGAGGGUGAGGGAAAGGCCCCUAGGCGGGGCACAGGGAUCCCUGCCCAUGGCACCAGGCCUGGCUGCAGGGUCCCCCAGUAUUGCUGUUGCUACGAGGUUGGGGGGCAGCGAUUGUCCUGUGGGAGCCAUGGUCAUCUGAGUCAGGACCCUUAUUUCUUCUAGGGUGUGCUCAGCUUCUGCAUGCCCCGGAUCUUGUCCAGCAGGCCAGAGAUGAAGGCCUCAGUGGGUUUGUAACAGUCAACUAGCAGCUCUUUGACUCUAGCAGCCCGAGUAUCAUCACUUUCCAUGUCCAAGAGUUCAUCCACAUCGAUCUCCAGCUCUGGGAUCUCCUCCUCCUGGCAGUCGUAGAGUCGCGUGAGCUGUUCUAAAAUCCACUCCUCCAGGUUGAGGCGCUUCCGCAGCUCCUUGCGGUCGUACUUGAUUGACCUUCCCUUGCCGUUUUACCGGGCCAUCAUCAUCCGUGCCCCCCGGGCCUUCGCCUGCGGCCCCAGGGAGACUCUGGAAGUAGACUCGGGGCCCUGUGCUGCCACUACCCGGUCCGGGGCCGGGGCAGCCAACGCCGCACCCCCCGCGGGGCCGCUGUCCGCCAUGGCGGCCGC